GAUGAACGCUAGCUACAGGCUUAACACAUGCAAGUCGAGGGGAAACGACAUCGAAAGCUUGCUUUUGAUGGGCGUCGACCGGCGCACGGGUGAGUAACGCGUAUCCAACCUGCCCACCACUUGGGGAUAACCUUGCGAAAGUAAGACUAAUACCCAAUGAUAUCCCACGAAGGCAUCCGAAUGGGAUUAAAGAUUUAUCGGUGAUGGAUGGGGAUGCGUCUGAUUAGCUUGUUGGCGGGGUAACGGCCCACCAAGGCAACGAUCAGUAGGGGUUCUGAGAGGAAGGUCCCCCACAUUGGAACUGAGACACGGUCCAAACUCCUACGGGAGGCAGCAGUGAGGAAUAUUGGGUCAAUGGGCGAGAGCCUGAACCAGCCAAGUAGCGUGCAGGAUGACGGCCCUAUGGGUUGUAAACUGCUUUUAUAAGGGAAUAAAGUGGGUCUCGUGAGACUUUUGCAUGUACCUUAUGAAUAAGGACCGGCUAAUUCCGUG
rnacentral:rRNA from 1 species